CAGCAGCCACGGUAAUACGUGGGGGGCAAGCGUUGUUCGGAAUUAUUGGGCGUAAAGGGUGCGUAGGCGGUUUCGUAAGUCUGAUGUGAAAUCUAUGGGCUCAACUCAUAGUCUGCAUCGGAAACUGCGAGGCUUGAGAGUGGGAGAGGUGAGUGGAAUUUCCGGUGUAGCGGUGAAAUGCGUAGAUAUCGGAAGGAACACCUGUGGCGAAAGCGGCUCACUGGACCAUUUCUGACGCUGAUGCACGAAAGCUAGGGGAGCAAACAGGAUUAGAUACCCCCGUAGUCCCUGUCUCUUAUAA
rnacentral:rRNA from 1 species